UGCUUUAGCAACGUAAUUUAUAAGUAAAUAGAAUCAAGCCAAUGUGUAUCGUAUGCUUGUGCAGAGACCUUGCUCUGUCGAAACGUACUUGAACUGCCCAAAGGAUGCGAACGAGUCCAUGACGGAUGACCGUCGACAACAAAAAUGCACAAGUAGAAAAAGAACUGCAUUCCUUGUAAGUGCAAUGAGGAUGACUAAAUAGUAUACGACCUGUGAUGACACACGCGCUAAAUAGCGGCAUGAAACUUUUAAGUGUUGCAGAAUUCUAAGAAAAAUCAUAGUGGUCGCAGAAAUGUCCGUAGUCGAUCGAAUUUCGUGCAGUCAGCGAGUAAAACGAUAAGAAGCAUGGCGCGAGCCCCUCGUUGACUACAAAAUCUGAAAAACAAUUCGGAGGUUACGUUUCACUCGAUACGCAUGCGUGUCCGAAGAAACCAUGGAACGAAACAAGCAGACAAGAGAGGAGAGACAAAACAUACACCGACGAACGAUCCGUCACAUGCACGUGCCGCUUACCGGCAGGCUGAGGAGAUGAGUGCACGCAUAGCAGCACAUACGCGCACACGUAGAAAAUACAAGGUAAGGUACCGGCAUGUAUGCUACCUGCGCCUGAAACUGGCCCGGCACACAAGAAGUAGCAAGCGGUGAUAGGUACAGACCAUUCGCUCUUCAUUGCAAAUUUUAGAAGCAAUGCCAAUCGUGCGACGACGCAGCGGUUCUCAAGCGAACUGAAUCACAGACUCGAGGUAUAUCUUGUAUAGUGUUGAAAAAUGCAAUUUCAGAAACCUCUAUCAACAGGUAAAUUGCGUCUAUCGUUCGUACAGCUUGCUCUAGAUAGAAUCAAAGAGAAAUAUUCUUCAGAUAGCAUAGGAUAAUCUGAAAAUCAGGGAAUGCACUUUGCAGGCAUCGCUACUCGAGAUACGCGACUCAGGGACCAAGAACAGUGGGGUGGAGGCGGUGAGGAGGAGGCACGAAGAGAAAAAGAGAAAAUUCCAGGGAUGUAUUGCGUACGGGAAUAGCCGGCCCUGACGCGACGACGAAGUCGUCUUUUCCAUCCAACUCUGUUUCUGUUUCUUCUUCUACCUCUCACCACGGAGGGCUGUCACCGUUCCACUUCACGGGAACGCGAUUCCCGAGAUAUUCUACCUACUACACCACCUCCACCACAUCCUACUCCCAAGAGUAUGGUAUGCCAACCUUCCUCUCCACCAUGUUUCUCUCGCGUGCUCGCAUGAAGGAGGAUCACAGUCCGUGCGGUGGCCCCCACGACGCCUACGAAUAUUAUGCCCACUCUCUCUUUCUCUCUCUUUCUUGCUCGCACUUUUCAUCGUAUGCGUGUGCGCGUGUGUGUGUGUGUGUGUGUCUGCGUUCGAUGCUGUGUGUUCGGUUCUUUCUCUCGCAUCUUCCCAACUCUCGGAGCACACACCAGCAACGAUCCAUGCACACAUUCACCUACCCAACCCUGCUUUUUUCUUUCUUCUUUUCUUCUCUUUCCAGAGGUAAGCGCGUGGGGCGAGGUCUGCGCCUAAUUCUCCCCUACAUGACCGGUUCGUGAGAAAAAUCCGAACGAAAAGAUCCGCGUGGUCAAGCGAAGCGUCUCAUUGAUGUAGCAAGACUUUGCAACUCCGUUUCGAGUCUCGUUGAAUUACAAGAAAAACAAGCGGCGAUGAUUAAAGGGAAACACGCAAGGG